AGCGCUGUAUCCAUCCACAAGCUGCAUGCUCAAAGCGCUGUAUCCAUCCACAAGCUGCAUGCUCAAAGCGCUAUUCAGAUUUUAGAGAAUGUGUUGUUCCUUUAUGUUAUUUUCACACCAGGAUGCCGUUGUACAAAGCGAUCUUAGUGCUAAGGUGAUCCUAGUUCCCAUACUUGAACACAGACGUACGACUGUCGUAGCACUAAGGUGGUUUUGUACAACAGCACCCUGGGAUAUAUUUGUCACUUUAAAAUUUCAUGUAUUGUUGAAAGAUUUUAUCUUGAUUUUUGCAUGGAUAUAUGCAGCAUGCUAGAUCGAAUGAGAGGUUAUGGACUUAACAUGCAAAGAGUGCCAAAGCAUUGCGUUGCAUUCAAAAUAUCUUGAUGCUACAAAGGAACUGUUAGCUUGAAAAUAUGUUUUGACUUAAAGGAACUGUUGCUGGACACAUGCUACAAUUCCCGACUUAAGCUAAAGAGAUCUGGUUUAUACUACUAAAUUUUUGAUAGGGAUAAUCAGCUGUGUCAUGGAAAGGUAACAAUAUAUCCCUAUCAACAGUGAGUAGUACAGUGGGUUUUUUACACAUCAGGUAAUCAGGUUCCUGGAUGACAGCAUCAUGGCAAUUUAGCACUUUGAAUUUAUAUGGUUUUUACCUGUAUUGAUGUUAAACAAUGGGAUUAUUUUACGUAUACUCCAUGUUUUCUUGUACACAGAUGCUGAUUACUGACUAGUCAAGUUCAAUUUAUUAAGUGGCUGCUUUGUUUUCAGAUUAUUUAUUUAGUUUAGUUUUUUUUAGUUAUAAGUAUUGUCUACUUGUGAUCAAAUGGUGUACUAUAAUUUUAUGUUUUGUCAUUUCAGAAGUGUUGUACAUAUUUUGCGUCACACCUCACUUUAAUCAUUUUUCUGUUUAAUCAGUGUUUAUUACCGAACAGCCAAUCAGAUUAGCCCUGCCGCUAUGCAGGACUUCAUGGCAUUGGGAUGAUCCACCAGGCCUCUCACACUCGGGACUUGCCACAAAUAAUUGCAAUAUAGUCGAUACAGCAGUGUUAAGCAAUAUUAACUCACACUCAGAUAACUCUGGUAAUAUAUUAUGAUUAUUCACCUGUAUUUUAUUUGUAACAUUAGGCUGGAUCAGUUUUCUGUUGCUUUGUCUACACACCAUUCUACUUCCACUUGUUAUGAAUGUGGACUACAUUAGCUUUUUUAUAAAGUAAUUUUAGAUAGGUAUGGGAGUAAAUCUACUAGCAUUACAAGCACCGUGUUCAUAAAUCCCUGUUAAUUUCAGUCUACAUAUGACACUUAUGAAGAAAUUAAUUAAUUAUGUUUAUUUCAACCACAAACCCUUGGCUUAGAUAUCUCUAAAGCAAGUACAACCAUCUCAUGGCACGUACUAUCUGUUUCCAACACUUCACAAGACUUGCCGUUAUCCUCAUCUGAUUGGUGUUUGAAUGAGUUUCACAAAGGGGUGAAAGUUUCAAGUGUCAAUAAGAGGUAGAGAUUGUUAGUGCAUUAUGAAUUUUGACUUGCUUCUUAGAAUAGCAUGAAAUACUGUUUUAUUAUUUUCUAUGAUUGAAAGAUGGAUGCUAGCAUUCAUUCACAGGGUAAACACUUUUCAGGCUGUCUUACAAACUGGAUUAGUUGAAUAUGUUUCAAAGACUUAUAAAAUAUUGCUUGAAGUACUAGGUACAAAAUAUUUACUUUCAUAUAAAACAGGUAUUUUUGUUGUUAUUAUUAUGCCAUUCAUUUCUUCUAUAACUAGGGACAGUGGGGUAGCCCAGUGGUUAAAGCGUCCGCUUGUCACACAAAAGACCUGGGUUCGAUUUCCCACAUGAGUACAUUGUGUGAACCCAUUUCUGGUGUCCCCUGCCGUGAUAUUGCUGGAAUAUUGCUAAAGCGGCAUAAAACCAUACUCACUCACUCUCUUCUGUAACUCCUUUAUGAGGGCACUACUCAACUCAUGAAAGGGUUAAAAGAUACUGAAUCCUUCCUCCACUGACUGCCAAGUAAUUAGUAGUCUUCAGUUGAGCAGUAUAUACUGUAUGCUUUAUCUCACUGAUUUCUUGCCAUUCAUCACGUGACUUCUCAGACAUCUUGGUUCCUCCAUACCUGCAAUACUAUUAAAAUGUUGAAUUAUAA
rnacentral:lncRNA from 1 species